rnacentral:rRNA from 1 species
GUGGGGAAUAUUGGGCAAUGGGCGAAAGCCUGACCCAGCAACGCCGCGUGAAGGAAGAAGGUCUUCGGAUCGUAAACUUCUAUCCUUGGUGAAGAUAAUGACGGUAGCCGAGAAGGAAGCCCCGGCUAACUACGUGCCAGCAGCCGCGGUAAUACGUAGGGGGCAAGCGUUGUCCGGAAUGAUGGGGCGUAAAGGGCGCGUGGGCGGCCUGGUAAGUCUGGAGUGAAAGUCCUGCUGUUAAGGUGGGAAUUGCUUUGGAUACUGUCGGGCUUGAGUGCAGGAGAGGGAAGUGGAAUUCCCGGUGUAGCGGUGAAAUGCGUAGAGAUCGGGAGGAACACCAGUGGCGAAGGCGACUUACUGGACUGUAACUGACGCUGAGGCGCGAAAGUGUGGGGAGCAAACAGGAUUAGAAACCCUGGUAGUCC